ensembl:lncRNA
GCUGCCACCUGCCAGAUGAAGGAGCCUUUUGAGAGGCAGCUGGCAUCGUGAUUGGACUGUACUUUGGUCUGUUCCAAUCCAGCUUCAGCUCCAGAGACGGCAGGCGGGACAAGUCAACGGAGGCCAGGUGGACGGAGGCAUGCAGCUGAGUCGAAAAAAAAUGUGAUUUUUAACAUGUUGUAAAAACGUGUCAUAUGAUGAAAUAAUGUAAAGGAGGCUGUGAAAAACACUCCAGAGAGAUUUUCUUUGAAAAAAAAAAUCAUCAUGAAUUUUGGCGCAAAAAAACGCCAUAGUAUAUACUAUGUUGAAAAAUUUGAUUUUUCAACAUGUUGUGAAAACAUGCCGUAUGAUGAAAUAAUGUAAAGCAGGCUGUGAAAAACACUCCAGAAAGGUUUUCUUUGAAAAAAAAAUCAUCAUGAAUUGUGGCGCAAAAAAACGCCAUAGUAUACUAUGUUGAAAAACAAAUGCGAUUUUUCAACAUGUGGUAAAAACGUGCCAUAUGAUGAAAUAAUAUAAAUUAGGCCGUGAAAACACUGCAGAAAGGUUUUCUUUGAAAAAAAUAUCAUGAAUUUUGGCGCAAAAAAACGCCUUACUAUACUAUGUCGAAAAAUGUAAUUUUUCAACAUGUCGAAAAAUGUCACUUUUCAACAUGUUGUGAAAACAUGCCGUAUGAUGAAAUAAUGUAAAGGAGGCCAUGAAAAACACUUCAGAAAGGUUUUCUUUGAAAAAAAAACAUGAAUUUUGGUGCAAAAAAACGCCACAGUAUACUGUCGAAAAAUGUCAUUUUUCAACAUGUUGUGAAAACAUGCCAUAUGAUGAAAUAAUGUAAAGGAGACCAUGAAAAACACUAUGGUAAGGUUCCCGUUGACAAAAAAAUUAUCAUGAAUUUUGGCGCAAAAAAACGCCAUAGUAUACUAUGUCGAAAAAAAAAUGCGAUUUUUCAACAUGUUGUAAAAACGUGCCAUAUGAUGAAAUAAUGUCAAGGAGGCCGUGAAAAACAC